CAGUAGCCGCGGUAAUACGAGGGGGGCGAGCGUUAUUCGGAAUUAUUGGGCGUAAAGGGUGCGUAGGCGGUUCAGUAAGUCUUGUGUGAAAUCUUCGGGCUCAACUCGAAGUCUGCAUGAGAAACUGCUGGGCUUGAGUAUGGCAGAGGGGGGUAGAAUUCCACGUGUAGCAGUGAAAUGCGUAGAGAUGUGGAGGAAUACCGAUGGCGAAGGCAGCCCCCUGGGCCAAUACUGACGCUCAUGCACGAAAGCGUGGGGAGCAAACAGGAUUAGAUACCCCCGUAGUCCCUGUCUCUUAUAC
rnacentral:rRNA from 1 species